AGUCUCAUAAUCUGAAGGUCGUGAGU
rnacentral:piRNA from 7 species